rnacentral:rRNA from 1 species
GUCGUAGUGACUGCGGAGGAUCAUUACACAUUCGGGGCGCUUCGGCGCUCCUUAUACACCCACCCUCUGCCUACGUGUACCUCUAUAGCUUCCUCGGCGGGCUCGCCCGCCGCCAGGAACCCACGAAACCCCUUGCAUUAUACGCGAAAACUUCUGAUAACAAACCUAAAUUAUCACAACUUUCAACAAUGGAUCUCUUGGUUCUGGCAUCGAUGAAGAACGCAGCGAAAUGCGAUAAGUAGUGUGAAUUGCAGAAUUCAGUGAAUCAUCGAAUCUUUGAACGCACAUUGCGGCCAUAGGUAUUCCUUUGGCCAUGCCUGUUCGAGCGUCAUUUACACCCUCAAGCCUAGCUUGGUGUUGGGCGUCUGUCCCGCCGUUUUCGCGCGCGGACUCGCCUCAAAGUCAUUGGCGGCGGUCGUGCCGGCCCCCUCGCGCAGCACAUUUGCGCUUCUCGGAGGCCCGGCGGAUCCGCGCUCCAGCAAGACCUUUCACGACUUGACCUCGGAUCAGGUAGGGAUACCCGCUGAACUUAAGCAUAUCAAUAAGCGGAGGA